rnacentral:rRNA from 1 species
AGGCUCACCUAGGCGACGAUCCGUAGCUGGUCUGAGAGGACGACCAGCCACACUGGAACUGAGACACGGUCCAGACUCCUACGGGAGGCAGCAGUGGGGAAUUUUGGACAAUGGGGGCAACCCUGAUCCAGCCAUACCGCGUGAGUGAAGAAGGCCUUCGGGUUGUAAAGCUCUUUCGGCAGGAAAGAAAUCGUGCAGGCUAAUAUCCUGUAUGGAUGACGGUACCUGAAGAAGAAGCACCGGCUAACUACGUGCCAGCAGCCGCGGUAAUACGUAGGGUGCGAGCGUUAAUCGGAAUUACUGGGCGUAAAGCGUGCGCAGGCGGCUUUGCAAGACAGACGUGAAAUCCCCGGGCUUAACCUGGGAACUGCGUUUGUGACUACAGGGCUAGAGUGUAGCAGAGGGGGGUAGAAUUCCACGUGUAGCAGUGAAAUGGGUAGAGAUGUGGAGGAAUACCGAUGGCGAAGGCAGCCCCCUGGGCUAACACUGACGCUCAUGCACGAAAGCGUGGGGAGCAAACAGGAUUAGAUACCCUGGUAGUCCACGCCCUAAACGAUGUCAACUAGGUGUUGGGGAAGGAGACUUCUUUAGUACCGCAGCUAACGCGUGAAGUUGACCGCCUGGGGAGUACGGUCGCAAGAUUAAAACUCAAAGGAAUUGACGGGGACCCGCACAAGCGGUGGAUUAUGUGGAUUAAUUCGAUGCAACGCGAAAAACCUUACCUACCCUUGACAUGCCAGGAACCCUGCUGAGAGGCGGGGGUGCCCGAAAGGGAACCUGGACACAGGUGCUGCAUGGCUGUCGUCAGCUCGUGUCGUGAGAUGUUGGGUUAAGUCCCGCAACGAGCGCAACCCUUGCCAAUAAUUGCCAUCAUUCAGUUGGGCACUUUAUUGGGACUGCCGGUGAUAAACCGGAGGAAGGUGGGGAUGACGUCAAGUCCUCAUGGCCCUUAUGGGUAGGGCUUCACACGUAAUACAAUGGUCGGUACAGAGGGUUGCCAAGCAGCGAUGCGGAGCCAAUCCCAGAAAGCCGAUCGUAGUCCGGAUUGUUCUCUGCAACUCGAGAGCAUGAAGUCGGAAUCGCUAGUAAUCGCGGAUCAGCAUGUCGCGGUGAAUACGUUCCCGGGUCUUGUACACACCGCCCGUCACACCAUGGGAGUGGAAUCUGCCAGAAGUAGGUAGCCUAACCGCAAGGAGGGCGCUUACCACGGUGGGUUUCAUGACUGGGGUGAAGUCGUAACAAGGUA